UUUAUGUCAAAGCUCAUGCUUUUAAACUCUCUUUUAUUUAUUUAUUAAGAGAUCCUUAGUUAAAAUUAUAUUAAUAAAAAACCUAGAAGGUGAAAGUAGGAAAGAAUGAGAGAACAUUUAUUUACAAGUGUGACUUCAGGCACAUUGGUAAAAGGAAUAUUGAUUGAUAAUAGGAAGAAAGAAAGCAAACACUUAUUGACACCUUUUGAUGUAUUGGUGAAGGAGCUUCAGUUCUGGAGGUACUGAUUCAGUACUUUCCAUAUUGAAAUAACAUAACAUAUAGAGUUAUUGGAGAACAAUAUUUGAUUAUAUUUAGCAAAAAUACAGAUGUAAAAGCAUAAUGUAAAACAAAAUAGGAAUAUGAAAUUGAAUGAAUGACAUCUAGGGUUCUGUUGGCAGGUGAAGUUAUCUCAAAUUGCCAGGCUAACAAACUGAAUUACUGCCUGGACUGCGAACAUGUUACUUAAGCCCUAAAACCACACAGUAAUUAUGAAUUGUUAUGUAUUAGAAAAGGGA
rnacentral:lncRNA from 1 species